AACUGGCCGGUGGGGCCGCAUAGUUUUAGUUAGGGAUCCCUUUUAUUAGUUAGGAAGGAGGUUGACUCACUGCCUCGUGCGUGGGACCAAAAUGUAAGUGUGGUAACGGGCAGGGUGUUCUUUGGAACUUGACCAGAGGACCGCCGCCCAGGCCCCAGGCAAAUUCCAGUGGAAGGGCCGGAAGGGCCGUGCGGCCCUCCUGCCGGCGAGGUCGGCGGAUGCGCGUAGGCGACGGCGUUCGCGACGCCGGAGCUAGUAUAAGUGCUGCCGGCGUCCUCCUUCCUCUGCUCGCAUUGUCCGGUGCACCCUGUCCAGUAUCAGCAAUUUGUUAUGUUGCUGGAGAUGUGAGCCUUUGUGGACAGCAGAAUAAAGGAGAGAUAGUUGCAUCAUCAAAAUCACUAUGAGCAAAAGUGUUACCUUUUAUAUCUGUUCAGAGUUCCUUGAGCCCAUUGGGAAGGCCUUUUUCUGGCAAGCUUUCAACCUCAGGACAGUUGUCAAUGAAUAGUGUUUCGAGUGAGGAUACUUCAUACAGACUUGGAGGCAAACACUGGAGAUCAUCACAGCAUGAUAUCUU